CUGAUGCUGGAGGGCGUGCACUUGUGCUCCUAGUGUUUGCAGUGCUCCCCGAGUCCGGCUGGCCUCUUCCCUGAGUUCUCUGAGCUCGCGCUCCAAGAUGAAUGGGCGGAGUAAUUCUCCCUUGGGUCCCGCCACGCUGUGGAGGCGCCUUUUAAGUUCUGAAGGGAAAGGGGGCAGAAUCAGGGUAUGGAAGAUGUUAAGACUUCGUGGCCCAGUGCUACCCCACAAUGAGUCACUCUCAUUACUCCAUCCCCACCAUCAUCUCACCUCAUUCACUCGCCCCCCAUGCACCCACAGGAAACAUGAGUCAGGCUUUCUUUAAAGCAUUCAUAUUGCUGGCUGGACACUUGGCUCAACAGAAGUUCAGAGCUGCUCUUCCAGAGGAUCAGAAGCCCACCUUUGGCCUCCUCUGGCAAUCAGUGCAGCAUGGCAUUCACAGACACACACAUAGGCAAAACACCUGUGCAUAAAACAAAACCAAUGGGGGAGGGGAGCAUCCAAACCCAGGUGUAUUGAUAAAUCCUGGGCACUAAAAAAUUUCUUCAGGAAAGAACAUGUAGUUUAUUAUGAAUAAUUUAUUGCACAGGAUUUUCCACAUCAAGGAUGGGACUGAAUUCAGUUUUCCCCCAGAUUUCUAAAAAUAUUUUCCCUAAAAAAAGAAUUCACUUUCUAAUUUUAAAGAAAAUAUAUUUCU